rnacentral:rRNA from 1 species
CUACGGGGUGCACCAGUGGGGAAUAUUGGACAAUGGGGGAAACCCUGAUCCAGCAAUGCCGCGUGUGUGAAGAAGGCCUGCGGGUUGUAAAGCACUUUCGGUUGGGAGGACUGCUUCUAGCACUCAUAUUGUUGGAAGUUGACGUUACCUUCAGAAGAAGCACCGGCUAACUCCGUGCCAGCAGCCGCGGUAAUACGGAGGGUGCAAGCGUUAAUCGGAAUUACUGGGCGUAAAGCGCGCGUAGGCGGCUAGAUCAGUCGGGUGUGAAAGCCCCGGGCUUAACCUGGGAACUGCAUCCGAUACUGUCUAGCUUGAGUACAGGAGAGGAGAGUGGAAUUCCACAUGUAGCGGUGAAAUGCGUAGAUAUGUGGAGGAACACCAAUGGCGAAGGCAGCUCUCUGGCCUGAUACUGACGCUGAGGUGCGAAAGCGUGGGGAGCAAACGGGAUUAGAUACCCGCGUAGUC